UACGUAGGGGCCUAGCGUUGUCCGGAUUUAUUGGGCGUAAAGAGCUCGUAGGCGGCUUGGUUAGUCAGGUGUGAAAUCUCCACGCUCAACGUGGAGGGGCCACCUGAUACUGCCAUGGCUUGAGUCCGGUAGGGGAGUGUGGAAUUCCCGGUGUAGCGGUGAAAUGCGCAGAUAUCGUAAGGAAGACCAGUGGCGAAGGCGAAUCUCUGGACAGUUACUGACACUGAGGCACGAAGGCCAGGGGAGCAAACGGG
rnacentral:rRNA from 1 species